UACCAGCACCCCGAGUGGUCGGGACGAUUAUUGGGCCUAAAGCAUCCGUAGCCGGUUUUACAAGUCCUCCGUUAAAUCCAGCCGCUUAACAGAUGGGCUGCGGAGGAUACUAUAAAACUAGGAGGCAGGAGAGGCAAGCGGUACUCAGUGGGUAGGGGUAAAAUCCGUUGAUCCAUUGAAGACCACCAGUGGCGAAGGCGGCUUGCCAGAAUGCGCUCGACGGUGAGGGAUGAAAGCUGGGGGAGCAAACCGG
rnacentral:rRNA from 1 species